UGGGGAAUUUUGGACAAUGGGGGCAACCCUGAUCCAGCCAUUCCGCGUGAGUGAAGAAGGCCUUCGGGUUGUAAAGCUCUUUUGUCCGGAACGAAACGGGUAGCGUGAAUAUCGCUGCCUACUGACGGUACCGGAAGAAUAAGCACCGGCUAACUACGUGCCAGCAGCCGCGGUAAUACGUAGGGUGCGAGCGUUAAUCGGAAUUACUGGGCGUAAAGGGUGCGCAGGCGGUUUUGUAAGCCAGAUGUGAAAUCCCCGGGCUCAACCUGGGAAUGGCAUUUGGGACUGCAAGGCUAGAGUGUGGCAGAGGAGACUGGAAUUCCCGGUGUAGCAGUGAAAUGCGUAGAUAUCGGGAGGAAUACCGAUGGCGAAGGCAGGUCUCUGGGCUGACACUGACGCUCAUGCACGAAAGCGUGGGGAGCAAACAG
rnacentral:rRNA from 1 species